GAAAUGCGAUAAGUAAUGUGAAUUGCAGAAUUCAGUGAAUCAUCGAGUUUUUGAACGCAUAUUGCGCCCCUUGGUAUUCCGAGGGGCACGCCUGUUCGAGCGUCAUUCAGACCAUCAAGCUUCGCUUGGUAUUGGGCUACCCUGCCUUCCCCGUUCGCGGGGAAGCGGGCGGCCUUGAAGACGUUGGCGGCAUGGCCCGAUCCAAAGCGUGACGACCUCACAGCGGCGGGGAUGGGUGAGCCAGCUCAAUCAACCUUUUAAUUUUCUCAGGUUGACCUCGGAUCAGGCGGGGAUACCCGCUGAACUUAA
rnacentral:misc_RNA from 1 species